rnacentral:rRNA from 1 species
AUUGAACGCUGGCGGAAUGCUUUACACAUGCAAGUCGAACGAUGAAGCCUAGCUUGCUAGGUCGAUUAGUGGCGAACGGGUGAGUAAUAUAUCGGAACGUAUCCAAUAAUGGGGGAUAACUAGUCGAAAGAUUGGCUAAUACCGCAUACGUCCUACGGGAGAAAGCUGGGGAUCGUAAGACCUGGCGUUAAUGGAGCGGCCGAUAUCUGAUUAGCUAGUUGGUGAGGUAAAGGCUCACCAAGGCGACGAUCAGUAGCUGGUCUGAGAGGACGACCAGCCACACUGGAACUGAGACACGGUCCAGACUCCUACGGGAGGCAGCAGUGGGGAAUUUUGGACAAUGGGCGAAAGCCUGAUCCAGCCAUUCCGCGUGAGUGAAGAAGGCCUUCGGGUUGUAAAGCUCUUUCGCAAGGGAAGAACACUUACUUAAUAACACUAAGUGAGGUUGACGGUACCUUGAUAAGAAGCACCGGCUAACUACGUGCCAGCAGCCGCAGUAAAAC